UACGAAGGGGGCUAGCGUUGUUCGGAUUUACUGGGCGUAAAGCGCACGUAGGCGGAUUCUUAAGUCAGGGGUGAAAUCCCGAGGCUCAACCUCGGAACUGCCUUUGAUACUGGGGAUCUCGAGUUCGGGAGAGGUGAGUGGAAUUGCGAGUGUAGAGGUGAAAUUCGUAGAUAUUCGGAAGAACACCAGUGGCGAAGGCGACUUACUGGACACAUAUUGACGCUGAGGUGCGAAAGCGUGGGGAGCAAACAGG
rnacentral:rRNA from 1 species